AAGCCUUUGGUUUGGCGUGUGACUUGUGACUGUUUCUGUGUUUUGAAUUUUGUGACUUUCAAAAUUAUAUACGACGAGGGUAAUUAAGAGUGUUCUUGAGAGCAGCACAUUACCUGCACACAAUCUACAACAUUUUGAAGAGAUAGAUACCACUAUGUUCAGCAUCUGUAAAACAAGACUAGGGAUCUAAAUUGAUGGUAGCAACGGCGGAGAUGUUGCAGAGAAUAACGUGGGAUCUUUGUAAAAUGGGUGAUCCCUGGCAGGUAACAGGAAAGAUGUUGCAGAGAACGAUCUUGGGAUCUUUGUGAAGAGGGCGAUCCUUAGACGGUUGCAGAUAUUCUAGAGAAUGACCUUGAGAUCUUUGUGAAGAGGGUGAUCCUUGGCGGGUAACAGCAAGGAUGUUGCAGUUAAUGACAGUGGGAUCUUUGUGAAGAGGGCGAUCCUUAGACGGUUGCAGAGAUUCUAGAGAAUGACCUUGAGAUCUUUGUGAAGAGGGCGAUCCUUGGAGGAUAACAGCAAGGAUGUUGCGAAGAAUGACUUCAGAAUCUUUGUGAAGAGGGUGAUCCCUGGCAGGUAACAGCAAAGAUGUUGCAGAGAACGACCUUGGGAUCUUUGUGAAGAGGGCAAUCCUUUGCGGGUAACAGCGAUGAUGUUGCAGAGAAUCACCCAGGGAUCUUUGUGAAGAGGGCGAUCCUUGGAGGGUAACAGAAAGGAUGUUGCAAAGAAUAACCUCAGGAUCUUUGUGAAGAGGGUGAUCCUUGGCGGGUAACAGCGAGGAUGUUGCAGAGAAUCACCCAGGGAUCUUUGUGAAGAGGGCAAUCCUUGGAGGGUAACAGCGAGGAUGUUGCAGAGAAGAACCUCAGGAUCUUUGUGAAGAGAGGGAUCCCUGGCGGGUAACAGCGAGGAUGUUACAGAGAAUGACCUAGAUCUUUGUGAAGAGGGCGAUGCCUGAACUUCCAGCUUCAGAGAGUGGACAUCUCCAUGAAGGGAUCAGAUGACGAGUGUCAACAAUGAAAGCUUGAAUAUUUUUGUCCGAUGACCACCAGUGGAGACCAGUGGACCAGUGAAAUCAAGAAAUUAAUUGUCACCAAAAUUCUCAAUACCAAAAAACUUAAAGUCCUACAUUUCCUUAUCUAGAUUUAAGAUUUUCACAUAUUAUAUUUCAAACCUUUAAUCAACCAAGGAGAACUAUAGAAAUCAAAUUACCAAGCAGGAUUUCUCUAUUUUAUUGCUUGAACUUUAUCAGCCAAUAACGUUUUAAUGCAGUUGCAUGGGUGUGGCCAUUUUUUCUGUCAGUUUGUGACUUUUAGCUACUCUGCUAUAUUUCUACAGCAGAUUAACUAUGAGUUGCAAACAGACGUUCAGGCAAUAGGAUUACAAUGUUAUUGGCUGAUCAAUUCAAGCAAUGAAAUUGAGAAAUGUAGCUCAGUUAUCUUAUUUUCAUUGUCAUACUUCAUUGAUAAAUCAUAUGAAAUGAUAAUAUCACAUGGAACUUUGAAAAAAAAAUUAGGGGACUUAAUCUGUUGAUUGUCAAAGUCUUUGACUUUGUGAAUUUAUAUUGUAUUUAAUUAUUUCACGUGGUCCACCGGUCGGUCAUCGUUGGGUCAUCGUUGGACUGGACUGCUCAGUUGAACUCAGCCCUAGUUUGAAGUGAAAACAAGUGUCGAGUCCUAUCCAAGAGAGUAAAGGCCUAACAUCAAGGAUUCAUUUGGAAUGAGUGGCCCAACCGGAAGCAGGGAACAUGGAGCUAGAUCAUAAAGACGUCAUGACGGAGGAUUAACUCAACAUACUCAUGAAAUAGUCCAGAGAAAUUUUAUCAGAACCAGUGCCAUUAUAUAACAAGGGAGAGAAUGCUAGAAGGGAUGAACAGAUUCUGAACUCUCAGUUAUCUUGCUGAAUAUCAAGGACCUAUUGACUUAACAGAUGCUAAGGAGAUGUUGAAGGCUUUUUUGCAGUACUUGUUGGAUCCAUUAUAACAUGGGAGAUAAUGCUUGAAGAGGGACAAACGGAUUCGGACCUCCCGGUUAUCUUGCAGUACAUAACUUUAGCACUUAUUGACUUUUCUACAGAGGCUACGACGGUGAAUACUUUGAAAGCAACGGUUAACACCUUUAAAAGGGAGAGAGAGAGCUCGACAAGAGACCAACAGAUUCUGACCUCCCGGAUAACUUGCCGAACCUGAGGGACCUUUUGACUUUUCAACAGAGGCUAAGGAGACGUUGAAGGCUUUGAAAGCAACGGUUGAACUUGCAGUUUAACAUGGAUGUACCCCCUAUCUGGUGUUAACGAUCUUCCAAGUAUAAAUGACAGAGAUAGUCGACCAGAGACAAGGAUGUAACACCUAUCGUGAAUCUACACGGAAUGUCUGGUGUGAAGAGUUAUUGGUAUUUUGGUUAAGUAUGAUCAAACAGAGACAAUUGAUUUGAUACAAAACUGUUCAUAUACACCUUCCAUUUUGUGUUUAUAAUCUUCCCAGUAUUCAUAAUUGAGAUCGGGAUAGGAAAUAAGUUUUAUUAUUAGGGGUGAUUUUAUUGAUAGGGGGCUAUAUCCUUCAUUUCAAGGCAGGUGUGAAUUAUCUGCUAUUUGACGGCCUGAAAAAAUCCUUGUUAUCUGUGCAUUUCACAUUAAAUGCACCAACAUUGAUUAAUAUUGUGAAAGAAUUUUGGUCAACCUGUUUUCCCCAAGACUUUCAAGAUAGCAUUGGUCAAGAGCGAGAAUUAACAAAAUUAAUAAUGGCUCCUUAACAAAAUUAAUUCAAGAGCACUGUUGCAUGCGCCAGGACCUAAACAGAAUAGUUGCUUUAUAUAUGCAAUCCAUCACCAGGGCCCAUUUCUAAAAGUCAAAUUUAGGUUUUCUAUUUGAUAUGGGGAUGUUUGUCAUGUAAAUCAAGCUGAAUGAACAAAAAGCCAGUUUGAACUUUUCUUUCAAUUUAUUUCACAUAUUUUUAGUAUCAGAUAUGUGAUUCACAUAAUAGUGAUAUAAAUUUAUAGAGCGCAGAAACUAUUCACUAAAGUCUAUAUUCUACUGUGCUUUUAGGGCUCCUAAAAUGCUUGAUGUAUUUACUAUUAAUAAUAAUACUGAUAUAAAUUUGUAGAGCACAGAAACUAUUCACUGAAGUAUACAUUUUACUGCGCUCUUAGGACUCUUAAAAUACUUGUAUGUAGUUACUAUUAAUAAUAAUAUGAAUUUAUAGAGCGUAGAAACUAUUCACUGAAGUAUACAUUCUACUGCGCUCUUAGGAUUCCUAAAAUGCUUGUAUGUACAUGUAUUUACUAUUCAUGAACCCAUGUUUUUAAUGUAUGCAAGGAGCAGGUCCAAGCUAUUAUUUCUUUGAUGAUAGGUAGGAGUAUCGUAACUAUUUAUUAUUGUGUCUAUUGUUUUAUUAGUAAAUACCUGCUUUGUAACUUUCAAAGAAUGGUUUCUCGGGGUAGAAAGUUUGCUUAAGGUUGUAUAACAAUUGGCAAAGAUUUGGAGGCAUUAUAAUGAGUCCAUGGAGAUAUAUGUUGAGUUAACUUAGUAGGUAACUUUAUCUUCAUGAAGCCAAAACCAACAAUAAGUCGCACAAAAUGAAUUUUGAGAUUUUUAUCUAGCUUGAAAGAGCAAAUCCUAAGCUUUAAAAUGAUGUAUAACUUUGAUCAGCAAAUUUUGGUCAACAAUAACACACACAAGUACUUCUUUAGAUGCAGAAAACAAGGUUUAAAGUAGUCCAUAGAAAAUGGUGUCAAAGAAGCUCUUGUAUCUUGUCUUUUAUUCAAGUUACAACUUAAAAUUUUGACUGUAUGAAGAAUAACUUUUCUUUUGGAUUAAGGAAAUUUCUAUUUUUUUUUCAUUUUUGAAGAAGUAUUUUGCCUAUUUCUAGAGCACCUCUUACUGACUUAUUGUUGGUUUUGGAGUGGCUGGUCACAUUUGGGUAUAUUUUGUGUUGACUAUUCUGCAAAAGUGGAUCCAAAGGUUUUCCAGAGUUUUUCCCUAUUAGAGUUUUAUCUCUGGUUUUUUACCCUGGACCUACUUGUCGUAGAAUUGUUCAACAGGGGGGGUGGGGGGGGGUGGGGGGUCUUAUGUAGGCCGUUGAUUAUGCAAUCGCAAUGAAAAUCAGCAUGCACGUCACCAUAGAAAAAAAUUUGUGACUCAUUUCCAGACUUUUGACUUUUUAUUUUUUAAUUCUUGUACAUCUAUUGAGACCGUAUUAGAAAAAAAAGUGGAUACACUGUUACAACCCUGCAUGACUUCUUAUACAUGCACUUCAACCUCAAAGUUACUUUAAAAGUUGUGAUUUUGUGUACAAAAUCAACACAAACUGUUUUCAACCAAGAAUUGUAAAUAUAUGAUUAUUUUCAAAUUUGCAGAUAGAAAUUGAUAUAUUCUAUGCUACUUCAAAAUUGUACAUAGGAAAUAUAUUUCUAGUUCAGCAAAUAUUUUGUAGAUAUUUGUUAAAAAUGUCAAAAUUGUAGGCGAGUUAUAGGCAAAAACAUUAUACUAAUUUCAUACUUUUUGAAUAAUUUCUUCCAGAAAUAUUUUAUAAAUCAUUAAAAGAUUUUUGUUCUCCUCUCCUUGUGCAUGGAAAUUUAUGCAGCGAUUACAUGAUCAGCGGCUGAGAUCUGAAGGGAGGGGGGGGGGGUCAUAUUGACCCUCACCCCAAGUAAAUACCUGGUCUGAAAUAGUCCAGUUAAUAUAUGGUUAAGAGUUCAGCUUCAAUUUUUACUCAUGUACAUGUAUAAAUGAUCUGAAUAUUAUCUUUUAAUUUAGGAUCAUAAGGUAAAGGUCAAAGGUUACACACAUUCUCGUGAUAACUAAACGGUUUAGGUUUCUACUUUAAUCUUAAUUCAUGUAUGCAUUAGGGAGAGACAGAAAUCUGAUUAUAUACUUGGGUCAUGCAUGAGGACAAAGUACUUAUUCACAUAGAUCUUUAUAUACAUUGAAAUAUCUCUUUCUCACAUUAAUUGAAGAACAGUUUGAGAGAUCUUCAAUCUUAUGUUGAGCGAGGAUGAUCUUAUUAGACUUUAGGGUCACAAGAUCAAAGGUCAUUAUUUCAAAAUUAUUAGAAGUUAGAUCUGGUAAGAACAGAGAGUCAGAGAUAUUUGCAGUCGAAAAUCCAUCUGUUCAAAAUUUUACAUAGUCCCUGUGAUAUAGUGCCAGUCAUGUGGGGUUUUUUUUCAUUAAAAAAAAAAAACCUCUACAGUAUAGCAAUCAAAAAUUGUUUCUUUCCAUUUAAUUAAUGAAAGGUUUAUGACCUUAGAAAAACAGUCCUGGGGAGUGUUUCAAGAAAAAAGAUAAACCCGACUAAAAUCAUGCUUGAGUGUUUAUAUGCAUAUUUGAUGCUCAGUACUCUCAUUGAUUAAUACACAGUAGAGCUCAUUCUCUGUGCGCGAGCCAAACAAUACAAUUAUCUGUUAAUUUUGACACAUAUCUGGAAAUUUAUAAGGGAUUUUUAGCCAUACUCGGGUCUUCUGUGAAACACCCCUCUGAUUUGUCCCUUUCGUUAGAUUACAUAUAGCUUGGACCUGCUCUACAGUUAAUAAUUGUCAUUACUAUAUGCUUGCUUUGUAUUCAUGAUUUUAUUUUUCUUUCUUGAAAUAAAAUGUAAGACCGGCAGCCGAGAGGGUUCAUUCAAGUUGGAGGACCAUGGCAGUUGACCUCAUUGAGUGAUGGUGCAGCCCUGAACCUCGCAAACAUGGCUUGCUGUCUGGUUUGAGCUGGGGUCUUCCUGCCAGAAUCACACAAUUGGUGACGCCACUACCCAGAGGACUAUUUUUCAGUGUGCAGAGAGGGGCACUGGCAUUGCUGUGCAUGACAUACAACUUCCCUAAUGUGAGUGCUUUAUUCAUGAUUUUAAUGGUAUUCUGUGUAGCCUAGAGUAUGUAAGACAAUGCAUUGACUUUCCAAGUGAUUGUGUUGCAAAGGGUAAUUGUAUUAUUGAGCAGCUUUACUUACAUUGUACAUUUAUCCACAUUUUACCUAAAUUGACAUUAAAAAAAAAAUCUUCGGAACAAAAUUCUUGCCAUGAAAAUUCUUCAAAACUAAACCAUUCCUGAGGGCAAUUCUGAUAAAUUUGUAGGGCCCUAUUAAAAAAAAAAAAAAAAAAAAAAA